AGAGUUUGAUCAUGGCUCAGGAUGAACGCUAGCGACAGGCUUAACACAUGCAAGUCGAGGGGGCAGCACGGUGUAGCAAUACACCGGUGGCGACCGGCGCACGGGUGAGUAACACGUGUGCAACCAACCCCGUACCGGGAGAUAACCCGCGGAAACGUGGACUAACACCCCAUAACACCUUUCCCCCGCAUGAGGGCGAGGUUAAAACCCCGGUGGUACGGGACGGGCACGCGCGACAUUAGGUAGUUGGCGGGGUAACGGCCCACCAAGCCGACGAUGUCUAGGGGUUCUGAGAGGAAGGUCCCCACACUGGAACUGAGACCACGGUCCAGACUCCUACGGGAGGCA
rnacentral:rRNA from 1 species